rnacentral:misc_RNA from 1 species
UCUCCGUUGGUGAACCAGCGGAGGGAUCAUUACUGAGUGAGGGCCCCCGGCCCGACCUCCAACCCUUUGUGUAUCUCGACCCUGUUGCCUCGGGGGCGACCCGGCCUUCGGGCGUCGGGGCCCCCGGCGGACCUAUCAACUCUGCAUCAUUGCGUCUGAGUAAAUAUUGAAUCAAUCAAAACUUUCAACAACGGAUCUCUUGGUUCUGGCAUCGAUGAAGAACGCAGC